GCUUGCUCUCGGGUGACGAGCGGCGGACGGGUGAGUAAUGUCUGGGAAACUGCCUGAUGGAGGGGGAUAACUACUGGAAACGGUAGCUAAUACCGCAUAACGUCGCAAGACCAAAGUGGGGGACCUUCGGGCCUCAUGCCAUCAGAUGUGCCCAGAUGGGAUUAGCUAGUAGGUGGGGUAACGGCUCACCUAGGCGACGAUCCCUAGCUGGUCUGAGAGGAUGACCAGCCACACUGGAACUGAGACACGGUCCAGACUCCUACGGGAGGCAGCAGUGGGGAAUAUUGCACAAUGGGCGCAAGCCUGAUGCAGCCAUGCCGCGUGUGUGAAGAAGGCCUUCGGGUUGUAAAGCACUUUCAGCGGGGAGGAAGGCGGUGAGGUUAAUAACCUUGUCGAUUGACGUUACCCGCAGAAGAAGCACCGGCUAACUCCGGUGCCAGCAGCCGCGGUAAUACGGAGGGUGCAAGCGUUAAUCGGAAUUACUGGGCGUAAAGCGCACGCAGGCGGUCUGUCAAGUCGGAUGUGAAAUCCCCGGGCUCAACCUGGGAACUGCAUUCGAAACUGGCAGGCUAGAGUCUUGUAGAGGGGGGUAGAAUUCCAGGUGUAGCGGUGAAAUGCGUAGAGAUCUGGAGGAAUACCGGUGGCGAAGGCGGCCCCCUGGACAAAGACUGACGCUCAGGUGCGAAAGCGUGGGGAGCAAACAGGAUUAGAUACCCUGGUAGUCCACGCCGUAAACGAUGUCGAUUUGGAGGUUGUGCCCUUGAGGCGUGGCUUCCGGAGCUAACGCGUUAAAUCGACCGCCUGGGGAGUACGGCCGCAAGGUUAAAACUCAAAUGAAUUGACGGGGGCCCGCACAAGCGGUGGAGCAUGUGGUUUAAUUCGAUGCAACGCGAAGAACCUUACCUGGUCUUGACAUCCACAGAACUUUCCAGAGAUGGAUUGGUGCCUUCGGGAACUGUGAGACAGGUGCUGCAUGGCUGUCGUCAGCUCGUGUUGUGAAAUGUUGGGUUAAGUCCCGCAACGAGCGCAACCCUUAUCCUUUGUUGCCAGCGGUUCGGCCGGGAACUCAAAGGAGACUGCCAGUGAUAAACUGGAGGAAGGUGGGGAUGACGUCAAGUCAUCAUGGCCCUUACGACCAGGGCUACACACGUGCUACAAUGGCAUAUACAAAGAGAAGCGACCUCGCGAGAGCAAGCGGACCUCAUAAAGUAUGUCGUAGUCCGGAUUGGAGUCUGCAACUCGACUCCAUGAAGUCGGAAUCGCUAGUAAUCGUAGAUCAGAAUGCUACGGUGAAUACGUUCCCGGGCCUUGUACACACCGCCCGUCACACCAUGGGAGUGGGUUGCAAAAGAAGUA
rnacentral:rRNA from 1 species